CAGGCAUCUAGAGAUGCGAGGGUCCUGGCUUCUCCCUUCAGGACACGGGAUUUGGGAUGCAAGAGUUAUCCUGAGUGUCAGGAAGAUAUGCAGAGAUGUGCCCCCAGUCGGAUUCAUCAGCAAGUGACGAUCCUGAGUCCCACCGAGUCUACCCCCUUAGCCUUCCGGGGCCGUGGCCACCCCUCCCACCGGAACAGAAAAAGGACGUUGGUAGAAAAGCUGCAAGAAAUCCAAAGAGCAUCUGAAAUCUGGACCUGUCGGGCACCGGGCUCUGCUCCUGUGUUUGCAAGCAAGGCUCAGAGAGGAAGAGGUUACUGAGAUCACAGAGCUGAAAGGGAGAAUUUGGACAAAGACACACGCAGGGACAACGCCAUGUGAACAUGAAGGCAGAGCACUGGAAGCCAAGAAACACCAAAGAUGACCAGCAAAGCCCCAGAAUCUAGGACACAGGCCUGGAACAGGUUUGCCCUCACAGCCUCGGAAAGAACUUUGAUCAGACUUCUGGUCUCCAGAACUGUGAGACAAUAAAUUUCUGUGGUCGAAGCCA